rnacentral:misc_RNA from 1 species
GUGAAUUUAGGAUGACUACUUAGUAGUAUCCGACCUCCACUUCUAACACUGUGCACUUUUAUGGCAAAGUUUGAUCAGUAGAGGUCGUUCUGCGGCUUUCGAACGUCUGCUUUUCCCAUUUUUACCUUUAUAACUCUAAGUUAAAGAAUGUAAUUAAUUCAUAACAAUGAA